UCCUCCCAGGCCUUUUUUGACCAACCUAUGUAAAGUAGGUUCCACCCAUUUAUUUUCCAUCUCAUCACGCUGUAUAUUUCCUUAAGAGCUCAGGUUACAGCUUGAACUUACCUCAUUUCUUUGUUCACUUGUUGAUUGUCUCCUAUACUGGAAUGUAAACCCCAGAGGGCUGGAACUUGAUCUCUCUUCUUUCUGCUGUAGAAUGGUGCCUGGCACAGGGCAGGUACUCAGCGUAUACUUGUUGAACGAGAACCUGGUUCAGGGGACACUGCACCAGUCCCCCAGCCUUUAAUUUCCCACAUUCUCCAUCUCCUGUUCCGCAUGGAAUCUAGAGCGUGGAAAAAAGAUUGCCAGCAAAGGCUCUAAAACAUAUAUUGCAAAUUGAGAUGUCAUGGGGACCAGGCGAGUAACAGAAAGGAGAGAAACCAGCUGGAAUAAGAGACGAGUAAUGAGGUGUCCAUUACCAGAAACUUUCUACGGGUAAAUGCAUGCCGAUAAUACCGUGCCCCGGACGGGGUAAGAAACUCCAACGUGUCCAGCUGGUGGCUAGUG
rnacentral:lncRNA from 1 species